AUUGAACGCUGGCGGCAUGCUUUACACAUGCAAGUCGAACGGUAACAGGCCGCAAGGUGCUGACGAGUGGCGAACGGGUGAGUAAUGCAUCGGAACGUGCCCAGUCGUGGGGGAUAACUACUCGAAAGAGUAGCUAAUACCGCAUACGAUCUAUGGAUGAAAGCGGGGGACCGUAAGGCCUCGCGCGAUUGAGCGGCCGAUGUCAGAUUAGGUAGUUGGUGGGGUAAAGGCUCACCAAGCCAACGAUCUGUAGCUGGUCUGAGAGGACGACCAGCCACACUGGGACUGAGACACGGCCCAGACUCCUACGGGAGGCAGCAGUGGGGAAUUUUGGACAAUGGGCGCAAGCCUGAUCCAGCAAUGCCGCGUGCAGGAAGAAGGCCUUCGGGUUGUAAACUGCUUUUGUACGGAACGAAACGGCUCUGGUUAAUACCCGGGGCUAAUGACGGUACCGUAAGAAUAAGCACCGGCUAACUACGUG
rnacentral:rRNA from 1 species